UACGUAGGGUGCAAGCGUUAAUCGGAAUUACUGGGCGUAAAGCGUGCGCAGGCGGUUGUGCAAGACAGAUGUGAAAUCCCCGGGCUUAACCUGGGAACUGCAUUUGUGACUGCACGGCUAGAGUGUGUCAGAGGGGGGGUAGAAUUCCACGUGUAGCAGUGAAAUGCGUAGAUAUGUGGAGGAAUACCGAUGGCGAAGGCAGCCCCCCUGGGAUAACACUGACGCUCAUGCACGAAAGCGUGGGGAGCAAACAGG
rnacentral:rRNA from 1 species